AAAAAAAAAUUAGGUAAAAUCGAAAUAGAUGUACGAAAGGAAAUGGGUAAUCCGCAGCCAAGCAGCAUAAUGAUUAUUUAUUAUUAUGGUGUGCAGUUCAUCGACUAAAUGUUGGUUGGCUUUUUUUUUAAUUAGCUUAAGAUAUAGUCAAGCCCCACCCGAAAGGGUGCA
rnacentral:ribozyme from 1 species